rnacentral:sRNA from 1 species
GUGACGUCACCAGGAUGGUCCGGGCUGCUCACUUGCCACAGUGGCCUGUUUGAGCCCGGGAAGCCAACGGGGCUGCUCUGCUGGACACCAGCCCCCGAGCUGCCCAUGUUGGGGUCACAGGCCCCACCUCCCUGGUUGGGGAGGGGCAACUGAGAGUGUGGAGAAGUGGGGACCCAGGCCCUACAUCAUUCGAGGAAUGGCGCCCCCGACGACGCCCUGCAGCACCGACGUGUGUGACAGCGACUACAGCGCCAGCCGCUGGAAGGCCAGCAAAUACUACCUGGAUUUGAACUCGGACUCAGACCCCUACCCGCCCCCACCCACGCCCCACAGCCAGUACCUGUCGGCAGAGGACAGCUGCCCGCCCUCGCCCGCCACCGAGAGAAGCUACUUCCAUCUCUUCCCGCCCCCUCCGUCCCCCUGCACGGACUCAUCCUGACCUAGGCUGGGCCACUCCGGCUUCUCUGUGCCCCUGUAAAUAGUUUUAAAUAUGAACAAAGAAAAAAAUAUAUUUUAUGAUUUAAAAAAUAAAUAUAAUUGGGAUUUUAAAA